AACUCAACUCAACUCCGUUGCCUUCAUUGCAUGUUGCUUUUGCAUCGUGGUUUUUGGGAUUUACGAAGAUUUGUAGCGGUUCUAUUUCAUUAUCGCAAAUUUUUAUUUUCACCUAAUUUUUUGAAAAUGCAGAACGACAGUGGAGAUUACGUUGAUUUAUACAUUCCUCGUAAAUGCUCAGCUAGUAAUAGGAUCAUACAUGCAAAGGAUCAUGCAUCAAUUCAAAUAAACAUUUCUGAGGUUGAUGAAGCAACUGGACGCUUUACAGGAAGUUCUGUACCAUAUGCCAUUUGUGGUGAAAUAAGAAGAAUGG